ACUCAAAUGAAUUGACGGGAACCUGCACAAACGGAGGAUUAUGGGGAUUAAUUCGAUGCCACGCGAAGAACCUUACCAGGGAUUGACAUGUCCAGAAUUUGCUAGAAAUGGAAAAGUGCCACACUCAUUUAAGGAGUGUGGAGCUGGAACACAGGUGGUGCAUGGCUGUCGUCAGCUCGUGCGUUGACGUGUAUGGUUCAGUCCUGCAACGAGCGCAACCCUCGUCCUUAGUUACCCUCUGGGUUCUUUAAGGAGACUGCGCGCGCAAGCGCUGAGGAAGGUGAGGAUGACGUCAAGUCAGCAUGCCCCUUAUACCCUGGGCUUCACCCGUAAUACAAUGGUUGGGACAAUCAGAUGCUACCCCGCGAGGGCACGCAAAUCUGUUAAACUCAACCCCAGUUCGGAUUGUAGGCUGCAACUCGCCUACAUGAAGCCGGAUUCGUUAGUAAUCGCCGAUCAGCCAAGCGGCGGUGAAUACGUUCCCAGGUUUUGUACACACCGCCCGU
rnacentral:rRNA from 1 species